UUUUUUUUUUUUGUUAAGUAACUCAACAGAAACCAAUUAGUCAUACAAGUUAGUGUUAGUAAUCUUGCACUCGUUUUUUUAGGAUAAUGACCAUAUGAACAUGUGGAAGCCCCCUUCUUUUGGAAUUUAAUUAUAUGGACAUUUGCUGCAACUAUUUUGAAGAUAUUUUUUUGAAUAGUUGGUCUUUAAGAUCUUAUAGCUUGGCAUGAAAUACUCUUGACAUCAAAUCUAAUUAAUCUUGUGUAGUUUGUCCCCCCACCAAAUUUUGUUGAACUUCUAUUCAUUACAUAUUUGCAUGUCAUUGUAGUAAAUAGAUCUAUUUUUCCAGGAUGAUAGACUAAAGCAAAUGCAUCUAAAUAUCUUCUUCGCAUAUCUUGUGGGCUACCAAUAAACAUUACUGGUGAAACUAUCCUUUGGCCCAAAUUUUGUAGAACCAUGAUUUCGUAUAAAAUAAAUUCUAGGUCCAUAAUAUUGGAUCAUAGGAUCGUAAGAUCCCACUAAAAAUAUCUAAAUUAAUGAUUUUCAAUUCAUAUAUUACUUUAUCUAACAUAAAAGAUAUCAAUUGAGCAAGUUAAUCAUAAAUAUAUAGCAUUUUUUACCUGUAGUUUGAUAAGAUAGAAAGAAAAUGAAUGUAAACAGUUAUAAAUAAUGAUAUUAAGUCUUAAAAUCAAGUGUAGACAAUGGAAUUUUAAUUAAAUUCUAAAGAUUACCAUUGGCCUAUAAAUUAUUUUAUGGCAUAUUUUUACCCAAUUGGAUAUUGCCAUAUGCCAUGUACACCUGGAAAAAUUGGUUAUUAAAUGACCAAUUAUAUUUUGCCACGUGUCAAGGUGAGGUGUUCCAAAUCAAUUCAAAUUGCAGGGAUAUCUCCACCAACCAAAUCAUAUCAUAUCACAUGCCUAUUGGAUAAAUAUCUAAGUAUUUAUUUCUUAUUAAAGGGAUAAUAUUUAGAGUUAUUUAAUCCAAGUAUAUUUCUUAUAUACUGCAAUAGCUUGUCCAGUCAAACGACGCCACGUCACGCGUCCCCACGGGUUUGGCCAAUUGAGAAAUUACUUAUCUCUUUAUUAAUAAAUAUAAAAUGGAGAGAUAAUAUUUGACUGACACAGUCCUGAUAUGACUGCACGUCUUGCAAGACAAGUAGAGUAGUAUACAUGUUUUCAACCUCUACUUCAUACCACAAUUAUAAAUAGGGGUUUCUCUACCAAGUCACAGAGACAGAGACACAGAGACAUCUAGAGGCAUCUCAUACGCUCAAGCAUUGAAACUCCAAACUACGAAGAUCUGGGUCUUCAAGCUCCCCAAGUCUUCCAUAUAUCAAAACUUGAGUUUUCAAUUAUUUUCAAGUUCUUCAAAUCUUCCAUAUCAAAAUUUGAAGGAAUCGGUGGUUGAUCCAAGUACAAGCUGCGAAGCCCUUGGAUUAGCGUUCGAGGAGAAGAAUCGAAGGAAGCUCUCUAUAAGUUCGAGAAAAUUUCAGAGAUUGUACCUACAUAUUUCUAAAUUUAUAUAUUACAUAUUUGUCGUGUAUUUCUUUUUUCUUGUCGUUUUGCAGACUUGAAAUUUUAAUCGCGUACAAAUUUUUGGCACGCCCGGUGGGACCAUCUCUGCCUUCCAUCUCUUCUCUCCGAUUAUUCAACUACAUAUAUCAUCAAUGGCACCGAAAAGCAACAAAAUCAUGAUUGUACAUUCCAAGGCUACUGAUGCUAAGCCUGUUCAGGAAGCUGCACAUGUUGCCACCAAUACCCGCGCUAUUGUCCUGUGACAAGGAGUAUGAUGAGAGCCUCCACCCAAAGUAGCAUGGAAGCUCCAUCGGCGCCAACUGUCGUCUUCUGUUCAAUAUCACCAAUGAGCUAUUCUUCCACGAUAGGGAUCUAAGACGUUCCUGUCUCGAUUGAGAAAGCUCUUGCCAUGCUCAAAUUUGGAUUCGAAUCCAAGUUUUCUAAGCAUGAUGAUGAUUCAUCAAGCACUGGAUCAGCCUCUUCACAUGAAACUUUUCAUUCAAGAUUUUCUAUUGAAAAUUCUGCUGCUUUUUCUGUUGCAAUGCCUGCUAUGAUGACAAACACUUUAAGUCUCGAAGAACAAGUUUCGAACAUGUUCAAGAUGAUGGAAACCAUGAUGAAACACAUCAAGGACCAAGAUGAUCUUAUUGCUCAACUGCUCACCCAGAAAGAUCACGCUCCUGAAGGAAGCCACGCGAACCCUAAGGAGCACCAAGAGCGUGAAAUUCCCUCAUCUAAAGGCAAAGACAAGGUGAAGGAAGUAUAUGUGACUGCCGAUGGAACUAUGCCCGUGGAACAAUUGAAAGAACUUGUUGAAGGCGUGAUCAAAGAUAAAAAGGAGGGUGGUUCAAAGUCAAGCUUUACCUACUGCAAGUCUUACACUGCUAGAAUUGACAACCUAGCAAUGCCUGCUGGAUAUCAACCACUCAAAUUUCAACAGUUCGAUGGGAAAGGUAGUCCAAAAUAACUUGUGGCUCAUUUUGUCGAAACCUGCAAUAACGCUGGAACCUAUGGUGACCUGCUAGUCAAACAGUUCGUCCGAUCCUUGAAGGGCAACGCGUUUGAUUGGUACACUGAUCUCACUCCGGGGUCCAUCGAUAGUUAGGAACAGUUGGAACAAGAGUUCUUGAAUCGCUUCUAAGCACUAGAAAAAUCGUUAGUAUAUUGGAGUUGACUAACACUCGUCAAUGGAAGGAUAAACCUGUGGUUAACUACAUCGAUAGGUGGAGAAGUCUGAGUCUCAACUGCAAGGACAGACUGUUUGAACCCUCUGCCAAAGAAAUGUGCAUCCGAGGAAUGCAUUGGAGCCUAAGCUACAUUCUACAGGGUAUACGUCCAAACACAUUUGAAAAAUUAGCUACUCGUGCUCAUGAUAUGGAGUUAAGCAUCACGGCCAAUGCAGCUGAUGGGUUUCCUAUUCAGGCUCCCCGAGCGCAACCGCCUCGUUAAAGCAAUGAAAGACAAGAAAAUAAAAAAGGGGGCAACCCUCCUUCAAGAUUCAGUAAUAAGGAAUUCAUGGCAAUAAACACAACUCCCAUGAAAAUUACUACCAAGGUGAGCCGAAAGGUCACCGAAAAGGUAGACUUCUCUCAAAAUAGGUCUGUAAGAAGACCCACUUUGAAAGAGAUGUAAGAAAAAGAAUACCCAUUCCUUGAAUUUGAUUUACAAGGGAUGUUUGAUGAUCUUUUCAAGGAGAAACUCCUUGACCUUCCUGAAAUGAAGCGCCCAGAGGAAGUUGGUCGAGUCAAUGAUCCAAAUUAUUGCUGUUAUUAUCGUCUGAUUGGCUACCCUCUCACUAAAUGCUUUGUCUUUAAGGACAAAAUUAUGGAAUUAGCCCGUCAAGGAAAAAUCCUUCUGGAAGAAGAUAAAGCAUCGGCAAACCAAACAACAAUAAUGUUUGGGUCUGUGUGUUGUCCGAUAGAAGUUUUAGCCACAACAAGCAGUGCUUCGUCUAAGGAGUUUGAAAAAUCCUCAAUUGAAGAUGUUAUUGAAGAUGACAACGAAUGAUGGACUUUAGUCACUCAAAAGAGGACUUGCAAGCCAAAAAUAAAGAAGUACAUCUUUUCGAAAAGCAUUUGUUCGACAAAGCUUAAAGUGACAAUGAAACAACGAAAUGCAACAAAGAAACAAAAGGGAGUGGCCACAAAACCAAUUCCUUCAAAUUUUUAGCUCCUUCAAGAGGGUCGACAGCCCGUGACACUGAGAAAAUUUAUACUCAAGGGGUAUUUAAGUGACGAUACUGAUAAUUCUACCUCUUGUAAUAUCGUCAAAGCUGAAAAUCCUCAAGUCACCUAAAUUGGCACUGAAUUUGAGGAAAAACUCAAAAUCGAUGAUAAACCACCUGUGGAUUGUGCAACGACUAUCAUUUUUUAUGAUAACGAUUUAACUGUUGAGUUUAAAACCCACAAUCGACCUUUGUUUGUUAGUGCGUAUAUCCGAGAACAGAAGAUGAAUCGGAUACUCAUUGAUGGGGGAUCUGCUGCCAAUAUUAUGUCCGUACGUACUAUGAAAGAACUAGGAAUCUCAAGCGAUGAACUCUCCCAGAGCCGCCUCAUGAUCCAAGGAUUUAACCAAGGGGGGCAAAGAGCAAUUGGUCUCAUAAGGAUUGAAUUGUUCAUUGGUGAGUUGUCUUCAAGUGCGUUAUUUCAUAUCAUUGAAGCCAAAACCUCUUAUAAUAUGCUCUUGGGACGACCCUAGAUUCAUGAGAAUGAAAUUAUACCGUCUACUCUACAUCAAUGUUUCAAAUAUUAUCGAGACGGUAUAGUUAAGAAGGUUGUUGCUGAUGAUAAACCUUUCACUGAGGCCGAGGCUCACUUUGCCGACGCCAAAUUUUGCCUUCAGAAAGUAACAAAAAGAAAAGAAUCAGUAAAGGAAGAAAGUCAAGAUUUCAAAGUACCUAUUUUGCGGUAUAUUCCAAGAUCAAAGAGAGAAGAAGGUCAGUCUUCUUUUAUCAGAAAUGAUACAUUAAAUGUUCCGCUUACCAAAAUAGAGCCUGUUAAAAGUGAGAAAGCGAGCCUGCAAGGAUUUGUCCGUCCCAAAGAAGAACCGGCAAUAGAACAUUACUCACUACCAACUAAUCGGACUCAAGAAGGUUUUGAUCCAAACGCAUAUACACUUCUUGCUAAGGCGGGUUAUAACCCAAAUGAGGAGCAUGCAUUAGGCAAACUCCCUACUGAGGUGACUGGCGAGAAGAUUCAUGGAUUAACACCUACACAGAGAAUGUUGAAAGAAAAAGGCUAUAAUGUUGAAAGUUCGUCAAUGGGUCUUAGUUAUCAACCGCCUUCUCCAGUGCGUAUAAUGAUCAAAAGGGCAAGUUGUAACUACGUAAACGAGGAAAUGGAGGUCACAAGCAGAAGGAGAUCUGUGUUCGAUAGAUUGGAAAAUAAGUCAAAGCGUACUUCUGUGUUUGACAGACUUGGCCCGCAGCCGAAAGAUUUGAAACCGCCCGUCUAUAAAAAAUUAGGCAGUAAAAAGCAAGAGUACCAAGUUACCAAGGAAGAAAAUCUUACUCCAAUAAAGAAGAAUAGACCAAGAAAGUGAGUCUCCAAUUUCUUCAUGCACUAUGGAGACUUAUUUAAUGUAAGAAUUGAAACAAUUUUUGAAGAACAGGGUCAAGAAAGUAUGGCUUCCUGUCAUCAUAUUACGAUCAGUGAUUCCGAAGAAGAAGAAGAAGAAGCGGAUGACGCUCCCCCUGAACUUAAACAAGGGGUAAAAAAUACAGUCGAUGUGCUAAAGGAGAUUAACCUUGGCACAAGCGACGAUCCUCGCCCAAUUUACAUAAGCUCUUGUAUGACUCUUGAAGAAGAGAAAGAGAAUGUCGAUUUGUUGCUCGAGUUCAGGGACGUCUUUGCUUGGAAUUAUUCAGAAAUGCCUGGUUUGGAUUCAAAGAUCACCGUUCAUAAUUUAUCUGUCAAGCGAGGAACAAAAUCUGUCAAGCAAACUUAAAGGCGCUUUCGACCCGAAUUGAUUCCUCUGAUAGAAAAUGAGAUAAAUAGAUUGAUUGAAACUGAGUUCAUACGGGAAGUGAAAUAUCCAACAUGGAUUUCAAGCAUUGUCCCUGUGAGGAAGAAGAAUGGGCAAAUUCGAAUUUGUGUUGAUUUUCGAGACUUAAAUGAGGCUUGCCCCAAAGAUGAUUUUUCACUCCCCAUUACAGAAUUGAUGGUAGAUGCUACAACCGGGCAUGAAGCACUAUCUUUUUUCGAUGGAUCGUCUGGCUACAAUCAAAUACGCAUGGCACCCGAGAAUAAAGAGUUCACUGCCUUCCGCACCCCCAAGGAAAUUUAUUGCUAUAAAGUAAUGUCGUUUGGCUUGAAAAACGCUGGAGCGACAUAUCAAAAGGCAAUGCAAAGAAUUUUUGAUGAUAUGCUCCAUAGAAAUGUAGAGUGCUACGUUGAUGACCUUGUGGUGAAAUCAAAAAAGCGAGACCAUCAUAUUCAAAACCUUCGAAGAGUUUUCCAACGCCUUCGGAGAUACCAACUAAAGAUGAAUUCUUUGAAGUGCGCAUUCGGAGUCACUUCUGGCAAGUUUUUCGAUUUCAUCGUUCAUCAACGGGGGAUAGAGGUCGAUCGAUCUAAAAUGGAUGCCAUUGUGAACAUGUCUGAGGAGCAAAAUAUUCAUGAAUUGAAAAGCCUUAAGGGAAGUUGGCUUAUAUCCGGAGGUUUAUCUCUAAUUUGGCCGGACGACGCCAACCCUUUAAUCGACUGAUGAAGAAAGGGGUACCCUUCGAGUGGGAUGAAUCGUGUAGGAAUAAUUUUACAAGUAUCAAAACGUACCUCAUGAAUCCCCCAGUGCUGGCUGCGCCCAUUCCAGGGAAACCAUUGAUUCUCUAUAUUUUCGCACAAGAACGGUCAGUUGGGGCCUUACUUGCUCAAGAAAACGAUUAAGGUAAGGAGAAUGCGCUGUAUUACUUGAGUCGGAUGAUGACAUCUAAUGAGUUAAAUUGCUCACCCAUCGAGAAAUUGUGUUUGGCACUUAUAUUUGUCAUCCAGAAGUUGAAACAUUAUUUUCAAGCACACAAUAUUCGACUCAUAUCUAAGUCUAAUCCCAUUAAAUAUGUCAUGGCAAAUCCUGUACUGUCUGAUCGGCUCGCGAGAUGGUACCUCCAGUUUCAACAAUUCAAAAUUAUUUAUGUACCUGCGAAAGCUGUCAAAGGACAAAUAUUGGUAGACUUUUUAGCCGAUCAUCCUAUACCUGCCGAGUGGGAGUUGACUGAUGAACUCCCCGAUGAAGAAGUGCUUAUGGUCGAAUCCCCGUGGUUGAUGUAUUUCGAUGGAGCCGCGCACCGUGACGGAACUGGUGCAGGAGUUAUCUUUUAUACUUCUGAAUCAGAUAUAUUGUCAUACUCUUUCACUUUAACACGUCGGUGUUCAAACAAUGUGGCUGAAUAUCAGGCAUUGAUUCUCGGUUUGGAAACGGCCGGAGACAUGAAGCAGUUGCAUUUUAGGGUCUAUGGUGAUUCCAAAUUAGUAGUAAAUCAAUUUCUUGGUAUUUAUGAUGUCAAAAAUCCUGAAUUGAUCCCAUAUUAUAAGUAUGCAAGACAAUUCAUGGAAUAUUUAGAUAAUGUCACUAUAGAACAUAUCCCUAGGAAUUUCAACCAACUAGCAGACUCUUUGGCAAAGGUGGCGACCAUGAUCACUCUACAUUCUCAUCGAAAUCAAAUUUCAAUAUGUCAAAAUUGGAUCAUACCUCCGAUGUUCGAUGAAGAAGAUGCUGGUGAGGAAGAAAAUGCUUAUCAUAUUUUUGUCCAUGAGAUUGAAAAGAAGGAUUGGCGUCAUCUCAUCAUUGAUUACCUUAAUCAUGGGGAGUUACCAGAAGAUCCCAAGAAAAGGGUUGAUAUACGUCGUCGAACGCCACGUUUCAUUUACUACAAAGGGGACGCUUUACCGAAGAUCAUUCGAUGGGGUGUUUCUACGAUAUCUUGGAGAAGAUGAGGCCAUGCAAGCAAUGGAGGAGGCUCACUCUGGGAUGUGUGGUGCACAUCAAUCUGGCCCGAAAUUACACUUUCGCAUUAAAAGAAUGGGAUACUACUGGCCAACAAUGAUGAAGGAUUGUAUCGAUUUUGCUAGAAGAAAUCAAGCUUGUCAAUUUCAUGGCAAUUUCAUCCGUCAACCCCCUAAACCAUUGCAUCCAACUGUGGCUUCUUGGCCAUUCGAUGCUUGGGAUUUGGGUAUAAUUGGACCAUUCCCAAAAUCUUCUGGAGGACGCAUUUUCAUUUUGGCGGCGACGGAUUAUUUCUCAAAGUGAGUCGAAGCGGUUCAUCUAAAAUAGGUCAAGAAGGAGAAUGUGGUAGAUUUCAUUCGCUCGCACAUCAUUUAUUGGUAUGGAGUCCCACGUCAUAUCAUCACUGAUAAUGGUAAACCUUUUUGCAAUGUAGCAAUGAACAAACUUUGCGAAAAGUUUCAUUUCAAACAAUACAAUUCGUCCAUGUACUACGCUGCCACAAAUGGACUCGCUGAAGCGUUCAACAAGACCUUAUGUAAUCUGUUGAAGAAAAUCGUGGAUAAAUCGAAAAGAGAUUGGCAUCUUUGAAUUGGAGAAGCACUUUGGGCAUACCGAACUACUUUUCGAACUCCCACGCAAGCGACCCCAUACGCGCUUGUUUACGGUGUUGAAACUGUUCUUCCACUUGAGUGUCAAAUACCUUCGCUAAAAAUUGCGAUUCAAGAAGGGUUCAGUGAAGAAGAUAAUGUCCGUCUUCGCCUUGAAGAGUUAGAAGCACUCGACGAAAAGAGAUUGGAAACUCAACAACGAAUUGAGUGCUAUCAGGCUCGCCUUUCAAAAGUAUUCAAUAAGCGCGUUUGACCUCGCUCUUUCCAAAUUGGAGAGUUAGUGCUCGCCGUUCGGAGACCAAUCAUUCUCACUCAUGGCGGACAAAGAAAGUUUACUUCUAAGUGGGAUGGUCCAUAUGUUGUUCGAGAAGUGUAUACAAAUAACUCAUACAAGUUGGUUGCUGAUGAUGGAUUAAGGGUUGGCCCCAUCAAUGGCAAGUACCUAAAAAGGUACUAUGCGUAAUCAGAAUCGCGCGAUGCUCCUGACCCGCAUGAGCUAAAACUGUGGAUGGCAACCACCAAUAGUGUAGUAUGUGGUUAAACUGGUAAAACACUCCACCAAGUCUAAGGUGGUAAACAAAUAGAUACUCCUGACCCGCAUGUGGUUAAAAUGUGAACGGCAGGAACUACGUGUGACUUGAUUCCCUUGUUGGGAUAUGUAAGCAAUUUGGAGGGCAACUUCUAAGUUCAGUUACACCUCCUAAACCAAACCCUCUUUCUUUGCAAAAAAAAAAUCGUCUCUCUUUCUUUGAAAUAAAAUGCUAAAUUUAAAAGAUCUUUUCUCUUAGGAAAAAAAAAUAUAUAAUAAGAGAUAAGAAAUGAAAAAUAUUUUAUUAUUAAAAAAAAUUCAUUACAAGGGAAAAGAAAAAGAAAAAAUUCAGGGAAAAGACAUGGUGAAAAGUCUAAAUGUCAAAUUUGUAGUCUACUGUAGCUAUUUUACAUGAUUCUAGUACGGACUUCAUGUCUUCAAGUUCCUUCACUGCGUCAUCAGUCAAGAUGCCGGUACUUUCAAUAUAAAAGAGCUCAUCAUGUGCCCGGGUUAUUUCAGUCCGGAUCUCCUCAAAAGUUUCAUGCUUUUGAUCGAUAGUUGAGCUGAUUUUCAAGCCUUGUUUUCCAAGUUGAUAAGUUCCUGUUGUAACACUUUCUUCCUGUCUUCAAUGGACUGCAACUUUUCUUCAAGACUUUGCAGAUGACAAGUUAGAUCUUCUUCCUUCGUCUUAGCUCUCCCGAGUUGGGCGGUCAUCUUGGAAAGGAGUUCUGUAUGUGUUUCUUUACUCAUCUUUUCCCAUGAUGAAGAUGCCAAAACAUCAUAUGUCUCAACCUUGGCAAACAAUUCUAUCAAGAAAUCCUUUAAAGGGAGACCAUUUGUAGAAUCCGUUCUUGUGAUUUCCGCAAUGAUUUCCUCUGCGUACUCUUUUAAAGAAGAUAUCUGCUCAAUAGGAGUGUCAAGAAUCUGCCUGCGAAAAUUCAUCCACAAACUCUGCAAGUAUCUCCUUCGAUGCGCUUGGAUCAAUUUUUGCCCGUGAAAUUCUGAAACCAGUGCUGGUUUAGGUCUCUUUCGGAUCUCAUGCGAACCAAUUAACUCCUUCUUACGCAUUGAUGAGGUACCUCCACUGGGGACAAAUUGUUUUGGAGUACUGAUUGCUACUUCCUCCCUUUUGUUGUUUGAAAUUAUAUCAUCAGUUUCGAGUUUGGGUGGUGAAUUGUUACCAACAUCCUCUUGACGGAAUUCAGGAAACGGGGGCUGAAAAGAAAAAAAAAAAAAAGGAAGGUUACAAAAAAAAGGGUUACAAAAAAAAAGAAAAAGAAAAAAAUAAAGAGAUGAUUACCUUAAGUGGCGAUACUCCAACCAACGGUGGUGUAAAGGAAACAUCCUCCAAAAUAGAAGAUGUCCUCUUCUUUGAUCGGUUCCAAUGACGGUCUUGACUAUUACAACCGCUCGCCAACGAAUGAGUUCCUCCUCAGGUAGAUCUGAUGCCCUGAACUUGAGUUCCUUCCUUUUCUAUAGUCUCAAUAGAAUCAUGAUCGUCCACCGUUUCAAUUUCGACAUCUUCUUUUAUGUGAGUCACGGAUACGGAUUUUGAAACUUUGGACGGCGUUUUCUUUGUUGGAAUCACUGGUUGCGCCUCUUUGAUGGCCUGUCGAGAGUCCUUGGAAGACUUAUUUUUUGUGACAAUAUUUUUCGAUGGACUGCUAAUAAUUUUGUUCUUCCGCAUGACGGAUAAGGUAAGACCCGUCACAAUCUCUAUAGCUCCAUUAAGAUGCAUUGAUUCGUUGGCGGAGGUAACCUUACCCUUCUUCGAUGAUUGCUGAGAGAUAUUAACGGUGAAUUUAAAGGAAGUUGAAGAGAUACUAUUUGACCGAGUUGACCACCAGGCGUCAUAGUCUUUUGUGAUCAAUGGAUGCUUCUUGUGCAUGGGUAUAGUCAUCCGAGAUCGCGUCUGCGUACGAACUGAUGAAUCCCAUAGUUGAAUUGCCUCACCUAAAGUAUAAGUAUGAGUAAUCUCUUUCAAGUUGUUGGAAUGUCCUGACAGAAGCCGAAUUGUCUGCUAAACCUGCAAGCAUUAUAUUUCUCAAUAAUGAAAAUAUUGUCCUUACGUAGAGUUAAAUGGCAAGAGCGUUAACUAAUGAAGUAGCUCAUAAGUCUUGAUGAUAAGGAUCCAUCGUCGAUCAACACCUUUUCUUCAUUCUCAGCCCAACACAAUUUGGGAAGUAUCAAAGGAUUCACUUCUUUGAAGAUUUCCUCAGCUUCUGAUCGGCCAUAAAAUAUUGUCAUUUUCUCACCACUAAAUCUUGUCAUGCGCGCGUGGUGGCUACCCGCUUGAUUAUUUUCAUAAUAUACAUCGAAGUAUUGGCCAAUCCAAUCACAGACGUAAUGGAAUGGAAAAGUUAUCCCACAUUCUCCAAGGUUAGGGGCGUGGACGUUCUCCCUCAACCCAUGAUAUAUGCUCGCAAGAACGGGAAUCGCAAGGCAAAAUCUUCUCCCUGUGGCCAUUAAGCAUGCAACCUUGAAGACAUUUGGGCGAAUACGAUCGACCUUUUUGCUUGGUAAAAGGAACUUGCAAAUCCAACACGUUAUGAAUGCUGCAAUAUAGGUUUCCUUUCUUAAAGACCCUGGGAUAUCCAAUGUGUCGAAAGGGACGUUGAAGUCCUUUGUAUCAGCAAGGUCGUGUGGCUCUACGCUUCCAGAAGGGUUGUAAGUCAUUUUCAAUUUAGAUGUAGUCUUUCUUCUAUUCGCCCUACUCGGAGGAGCUCUAUACCUAGUCUCUCCUUUGAACCAGAAGUGAAUCCAAUCUUUCAUCCAUAUCCCUUGGUCAUUCGUCCAAAGGUGGUAGUAAGCGGAAAAGAUGUGCCUGCAACUCUCAGGGAGAAGUGGCUUCCCUUCUUUGUCACGAGUGAGAAGCUCCUGCGCCAAAGGAACAACUUCAUCAAAGAACGAGCCAUCGAUCGAUAGGCCACCAAGUCGAUAAAAAUCCCAAAGUGUGAUGGACAACUCCCCAACGGGCGUAUGAAGUGUAUUUGUCGAGGGACACCAAUAUUUGAAGAAGGCUCACAAUAUAUUUUCACAGCGAUCGUAGGAGUAUCGCAACGCGUAGACAGCUUCAAAUAUGCUAGCACGGGUGAGCACUUCUUUAUACCUUCCGAGGAUGUCCUCGACCCAUUCCCAAUAAUGAGAAGUGAAGCAUGCCUCGCUAAAGAAGGACGAAAGGAUCUUCCAUGUAGUUUUGUCAAUAUUGAAUCCCACGAACGAAAGCGUGAAUUUGGCUAUUUCUGGAUCUCCAUUAUGAAGUGAUGAGUUUAAUACAACCACUUCUUCUUCCCUCGACGUAGUGGAGAAAGUCGACGGUGCCACAACUUCUUUGGUCCACUUGCUAGUCCAAUCCACAAGAUGAAAGCAUCCUUCAAGGGGUAUAAAAGAUUCAGCGAACGUGCCGAUUGCUGGUUUAUGAACAUGUAGUGACAAGCUCUUUGAUUGAGGUCCACCCCGUUCAUCCGUCAAUGAAAUAUGUGGCAAUGGCGUGGCGUAGUCCUUAAUUUGCGUGAUUGCUGAAAUCUUGUAAAAGAAAGUAUUAGACAAUGAAGGGAGCGUCUUGCAAAAUUUUGGUAGUUAAAUUACCUAAUUGGUUGCCUUUUCUCAAGUCCCCGGAAUCGUUUCGAAUCCCUCUUCAAGCACAGUUUUGGUUAUCUAUAAGAAAGCAAGUUGACAAAGUUUAGAUCGAAAUCAUGCAUGAUAGUAAUAUUUGGAACGCAAAACGACUAAUGUGAAAUUGAUAUCAAAUUUCCAGCCAUAAGGAAUAGCUCGGGAAUAAUAUUUUGAGCCAAUCUUUGUUCUCAAAAAAAUAUUGAAAGGGCAUACAUGAUUUCGAAUAAUAUUUAAAGGGUAUCUCAAAUUAUAUUUUGAGCCAAUCGUCGUUCGGUCAAUUUCAAUCUUCCAGCCAAGACCCAAGUUUCGUUCUCAAAUAAUAUUUUGAGAAUUUAUUUGGUAAGUUUGUGAGGCUCUAAGCUUCUCAAUUGGCCGAAGUUCCUUGUAACAAUUAAAUAUUGCAAAAAAAAAAGGGGGCUUCAAGUACCUGGUGAGCGAAAAGAAAAUUAUUGGAGUGCAACCGAUGAAUGAUGAUUGAUGCUUGCGGCUCGGCAAAGGUGAUAACCAGCUUCAAAUUGUCCCUAUUGAUCGAAGGAUAGCAAAGCCAACAAUAAAGGCAAGUAAAAGUGAGAUGGUAUGUCGACGAAUGAUUGAUAAAAAAAAUUAAAAUUUUGGCAAGGCAGCCGUACGUCAAGGUGUGGUUGAAUGGUAGACUUCGGAUGCCAGGAAGAGCAGUGACAUGAAUCAAUGAAGCCACAAUUAUAAGGAGUCGUGUAUGCAAUUACAGUGGCUAAUGUGUUAUUCAGCUUUGUGGUAAAACUCUAAAAUAUCACUUUGAUUUGUUAGACAUAAAGAGUCGAGAUUCCAACGCAACUUGGUAGAGUGACUUGUAAUCGAAACAUGCAAGGAUUCGGAUACUAACUACUCACAAGUUUCGAGGUUUGGAAAUCAUAUUAUCUUAUAAUAAGUUGAUGGUUUAGGUUCAGAAGUUUGAGACAUGGCAGCUUAACAUGCAGAUUUCAAGUAUUAGGCACAGUUAAGAUAAAUUAAAAUAAGAAUGGGAACCAUUGAUACUAGGAGGCAUGAAUAUUUAUGAACGAAAAUUGGAGGUGACUACCUUCAAAGCUGUGGUAGAAGCAGCAACUAGAUUUUGCAAACGGCUCGCAACGUUAACAAAGAAGAUAUUGCCCUAAAUCUAUCUGUGCAGAAACUACCAAAAAUCAGCAGUUGUUCCAUGCAAAGUAGCAAAACGAGGAACACAAGCAGAGUGGUAAUGAGAGCGUCAAGUCAUUCAUCGGUUAAUCCGUAUGAAUGCUACUGUGAACUCAAGAAGCAUAUUAGAUUCAUGCAUGAAAGCUAUUUUGGCUGGGAUAAUAUGAGAGCAAGUAUGUCCAUGGAUAAUUUGAAAGUCCGAGAGAUAGUUAUAUAAAAAAAGGGGAGAGUUUUAAACUCUAGCAGAGAAGAAAUCCACCCAUAGCUCGGAGAAGUAAUGCGUAACUUAAAAUAAUUCAAGAGUAGCUCGGCAAGAGUGAUGUCCGACUUCAAAUUGAUUCUAUCAGUCGAAAAGGCAACGGAACCAAACAAACUAGCGAAUUAUGAACGAUGGCAACAGCAAAAAAAAAAAGGUGCCACGGGCAGGUCAAGUAAUUCCUUUUAGUUCACGCAAGAAGACUUGGCCUCGGGAAUUAUGCACGCUUAUUAGAACUCCAAUAAAUAGAAUCCAAGUCCAAUACGGAGUCCUCUGGGUCAGUUAUAGCAUAAGAAUGACACUUGCAUGGAGAAGCGAGUACGGAUGCGGCUUAUGUCUUUGAAGGAUGAGGGAAUACAAUCUCCUUUUGUAAUUAAAAGAUUGCACCAUGUCAGAGAUAAGAAUCCUGGUCAGGUUUCAAGACGCCACAUGUACAUCCUAAGGAGCAAAGGAAAACUUGGAAAUUCGGAUAAGUUAGCGAAGAUAUCAUUCGGUCUUGGGAGUGGAUACCACUAGAAGAUGUAGGCAUUUGAUGACGUAGCGAGGGAAUUUAAAUGUCUUGCAUGACCAUCUCAUGUUGAUAAAAGCAGCCCUCUCUAAAUUAUCAUUGGUCUAUAUUGGUCUAUGAGGCAUUUGAUAACACCAUGUCGCAUGACUUUGUCAUUGGUUCAAUAGCCACGGCAUUGCAAAGCUUUGAAUAAAGUCCAUGGAUUGACAUUUGAAUUGCAAAGCUUUGGGUAAAGCCACGGCAUUGAAUGGACUUUACUUGGAUUGAUAUUCAAACAGUGGACAUAAAGCUUCCAAAUGAAGUGAUCCGGCCUCGGGAAAUUGAAGGCACUAGUGAUCUUGGAAAUUGAGAUCAUUAAAGGAUGCAUUGGUGGUGUUUCACGUGGAGUUUGGGACCACUAAGUCAUUGGACUAUUAUUUGAGAUCACCAAGUCACUAGAUCUUCAAGUUUAGUCUAUUUAGGGACUUAUUUGAGAAUUAAUAUCCCAACGGUGCUCAAAUAAAAAAAAAUGUCGAAACUUGUCCGUUCAAAUCUCGCUUCAAUCUUCAGCAUUCGCGAACAAGUUUCGAGGGGGCAUUUAUAGACAAUGAAAUUUUAAUUAAAUUCUAAAGAUUACCAUUGGCCUAUAAAUUAUUUUAUGGCCUAUUUUUACCCAAUUGGAUAUUGCCAUAUGCCAUGUACACCUGGAAAAAUUGGUUAUUAAAUGACCAAUAAUUAUAUUUUGCCACGUGUCAAGGUGAGGUGUUCCAAAUCAAUUCAAAUUGUAGGGAUAUCUCCACCAACCAAAUCAUAUCAUAUCACAUGCCUAUUGGAUAAAUAUCUAAGUAUUUAUUUCUUAUUAAAGGGAUAAUAUUUAGAGUUAUUUAAUCCAAGUAUAUUUCUUAUAUACUGCAAUAGCUUGUCCAGUCAAACGACGCCAUGUCAUGUGUCCCCACGGGUUUGGCCAAUCGAGGAAUUACUUAUCUCUUUAUUAAUAAAUAUAAAAUGGAGAGAUAAUAUUUGAUUGGCACAGUCCUAAUAUGACAGCACGUCUUGCAAGACAGGUAGAGUAGUAUACAUGUUUUCAACUUCUACUUCAUACCACAACUAUAAAUAGGGGUUUUUCUACCAAGUUACAGAAACAGAGACACAGAGACAUCCAGAGGCAUCUCAUACGCUCAAGCAUUGAAACUCCAAGCUACGAAGAUCUGGGUCUUCAAGCUCCCCAAGUCUUCCAUAUAUCAAAGCUUGAGUUUUCAAAUAUUUUCAAGUUCUUCAAAUCUUCCAUAUCAAGAUUUGAAGGAAUCGGUGGUUGAUCCAAGUACAAGCUGCGAAACCCUUGGAUUAGCGUUCGAGGAGAAAAAUCGAAGGAAGCUCUCUAUAAGUUCGAGAAAAUUUCAGAGAUUGUACCUACAUAUUUCCAAAUUUAUAUAUUACAUAUUUGUCGUGUAUUUCUUUUUUCUUGUCGUUUUGCAGACUUGAAAUUUUAAUCGCGUACACCAAGCAUUUUACUCAAUAAUGAUUUCAAAUUCAAGAUAAUCAUCAAUCUUCAUCAACAUUGAAAAUCAUUACUUUUAAGUUCAAAAAUAAAACAUCAUUAACUAUUAAAAUGUCACUUUUAACUUUAAACAAAUAUGAAAAAACUAGAAAAGACAGUGGCUUUAUAAAUCAAGAACUUCAAAAUCAAUUCCCAUCUUCAUCUUCUUUGUAUUCAUCAUCUCCAUAACCUAUGUUUUCAAAAUCAUUAUUUUUUAAAAUCAUUUUCAAGAUACCAAUCCUUUUAGGAUCUAUUUUCAACAUCAUCUUCACCAUCAUCCAUAUUAGUAUCAAAAUCAUUGGUUUUCAUUUGAACAUCAUCUUUGAGUAAUCAUCAUCUCAAGGAUAGAUCAUCUAAUAAAAAAAUGAAUGAAACUUACCAAAAUGAAAAAAAAAACUUUUAAAUUGAAGUCAUGGAAAUUAGAAAAUAAAAAUAAUAAAACUUGAAAGUCAAAAGUAAGAAAUAAACUUGCAAGUCCUUUGUACAUUUCUUUUUAAUCAAUUCAAUUUCAUCAUAUCUCCAUUUUCCUCUUCAUUCAAGGUGUCACAAUGUAGAUUUUCAUCUAAAAUCACAACCAAUUGUUUUCCUUUGAAGGAGUUGGUUUUUCUAUUUUUGUUACCCAUUCAUCGUUUGAAGAUAAGCCCUCAAAAAAAUUUCUUUUAUGACAUAUUGUCUUUGGCUUUAUCUCUUUUCUAAUUUUAGAUUAUAUAUCACAAAUACUAGAUUAUUCGUUCUUUUUUCUGCUUGCUAAUUUCUUCUCUUAGAGUGCACAUAUUGUAAUUGAAACAAUUUAUACCAAAAAUAUGUUCAAAUACAUAAACUAUAAGUUCGAACUAAUUAUUGAAUCAAACAAUAUACUAUAUGUAAAUGUUCUUAACAAUUCAAAUGCACUUCAAUUACAUUCACAUAUAAAAGAACCACAAGUAAAACUUAAGACUCUGGUAGCAAUAUUUUCAACUUUGAGCAUUCAUCCCCAUAAGAUUCCUGCCAAUCAGUUCAAAUUAAAAUGAAUCGGAAUCAAUACAAGUUUUUAAAAGUGAAAACAUACAUGGACAACUACGAACUAACUAGAAUAUUCUUGUUCUUGUCAGGUCUCAUGACCAAAUAAUCCUUUUACACAUAAAAAAAUAUCUAUCUGUAAAUCAUUUUUCAGCCUGACACUAGAAUUAGGAACCAUCUUUGUAAUGCAAUCAUAAAAGCCACGUUUUACAUUUGCAUCAAACUAAAAAUUUGAACUAUAUUAAGAUUGGGGAUUGAAAUUGUAACCUGCAGUAUAUAAGGAUGCUAAGUUGAUAUUCCCAUUUUUUGUCAAUGAUAGACAAUGCUUAUUGAUAUCUAUAAUAUAAAUAUGAGUUUAAUGAGGAAAUGAUUAAAUGAAAAUAAUUUUAAUAACUAUCAAAAGGUACUACAAAUGAAUGCAUAAUAGGCAUUUUUCAAAAAAUUUACCUCUUUCAAGUGUUUUUCAUAUUUUAUUUAAUUUCUUCUUUUUCAUGGUCAAUUGCAUUGUUGAGAAAACCAUUGUAGAAUUGUCAUCAAAAUCUUCGAUCCUCAUCUCUUUGGUUAGUGGUAAAGCUAUCUUUAAAUAUAUCUCUACAUUUGGCCAAAAUUGUUAAUUAUCAAAAGCAAUGCUCUCAAUUUGUUUCCUUUUUUCCUUCUUAGCAUAACUAUCUCUUUCACUUGUCAAAGGAGAAAAAAAUAAAAAAGUUACCUUUUAAUUCACUUAGACAUUGCAUAGUCAAGUAUAAAGUAGCAAAACAAAUAAUACCAAACCUAAUUAGAUUCUUGCCAUUUGUAAAUUGUUUCAUCUCAUCAAUGACUGUACCCCGUAAGUAAAUAUAUGAAACAACUAAUCUAGCCUUCUCUAUGGUGACUUUAUAGAGUGCAUCAAAUUUUUAAAAAUCUUCUUAUAUCAGAUCAAUACAAUGAGUAGAACAAGGGGUCCAGAGCAAAUCUUUUUCUUUUGUCCAUCAAUGUUUUUAAAACUGUCUUAUAUUUAGAAGCAUCAUCAAUAAUAAUCUGGAUAAUAUUACCCUUUUCAAUUUUUUGGACAACACUAUCUAACAAUUCAAAUAACUUUUGAGUUGUCUUUGAAAUGUUAGUGAUAGCUAUAGAAGAUAAGAACACCAUACUAGCUGGACUAUGCACAAGAAAAUUGUUAAUUGUUCUUUAAAAAAUUGUUGAUUAUUCUUUUUCUUUGAUUGGACCAUCAGACAUUUAAUAAAACAACCAGUCCUCUUUCACUCCUUUUUGUAUUUAGUAAGUAAAUUCAAUAUCUCUUAUACUUUUUUUUUUUUAAGAAAGUCUCUCUCACAUUCAUGGUAUGAAAGUCAAUUAAGUAUUUUUCCAUAAUCUUCGAUUUUUUAAUCAUCUAAGAAAAGUAUGGAUUACUCAUAACAUCAAAUGUAAUGGCACUUGUAUGCUACUACCUAACCAUGAUUUAAUGAAUUUUAUCUCUAUCUUGUUUAAUGAAUUUUAUCUCUAUCUUGUAUUUGGCAUUUGUCAUUUAUAUUUUUUUCUUGCAUGCACAUUUUUAAUACUUUUUCACAGCAAAACCUUUCAUAGAGCAUUCUUUAUCCCUCUACUAAACUUCUUCCUCCUUUUCUAAGCCAUAUACAUUACUAAUUCUUUGUUUUUCUCUUUGAUUUCUCAAAACUCACACUUAAUAUGUCAAAUAUUUGUCUUCAAGCAUCUUUAGGAAUUAUGAGACAUGGUUUGACAUUUACAUUAUACAAGCUAAGUUGAUACAAUUUUGUUGAGAUUAAGGAGACCCAAUGUCAAGACAAGCCACAGGAUCAUUUUAUGGACAAGUUUGGUUUGUAGAAUAACUAAAAGACCCUAUUAACCCCCUUAGCUGUGAACUUUGAUACAAAAUCUCAACCUACAACUAAAGAAAUAAGAGAACCCCAAUUUUUAGUAGAAAACACUGCAAUCAAGUGCAAUUCUUGAUCGACAAGUCAAGUUGAAGACGUCAAGACGCACUCAAGAGAAAUUCAAGGGUAGUUCACAAGGGCCCAAGAAAAAACUCUCAAUUUCAAUUAUCAUAGUCUAGAAGAAUCAGUGGAUUAAUUUCUUUGAUUCAAGAAUUUUCAAAGAUUGUAAUCCUUUUAUUCUUUGAUUUAAUAUAUUUGUUAUUUUGUGCAAGUUUUCUUCUUUUCUAUUCUAGGCAACUAAACUUGUGCUUACAACUAUAUACAAAUUCUUUUAUGUAUGAAAUACCAACUAAAUUGAAAUUUAGCAACUUGACAAAUAUUAAGUAAUGAAUACAAAUAUACUACAUAACAAUACAAAUUCUUUUAUCAUAAGUCUUGUUUGGAAGCAUAUCAAAUUAGGCAAGUAAAUAUCAUUGUUGAAUGUAAGAAACUAUGUCUCAUCCAAACAGGAUGCAAGCUUAUUUUUGGUACAAUUGAUUAUUGCAUUUGUUGAGGGGUUAAUGUUGUAAGGCUUGCUCAGAAGUAUGCAAAAUUAGCGAAAUAAAUGAAACUAUUGAAACUAAGGAAUUGUGGCUCAUCCAAAUAGGAGACAUAAUUGAAUUAUUGGUAAAAUGAAUAAGAAAACAAAUCCAAGAAAAAAGGACUCAGGGUUGGGAGAUAUCUAAGAGGAUCCCUCAACAAAUUUGUAAUUGGGGUCUAACGUACGCUUCAUUAUUUAUUUAUAUGAGGGUAUAAUUAGAAAGUGAAAACUAAAUCACUAAGGGUCCGUUUGGUUGGAUAGAAAAUAUUUUCACUAGUGAAAAUAUUUUCCAUCGAAGUCAUUUUCCUGAAAAAUCACUUCCUUCUCCAUAAUUUUCCGGUGUUUGGUUAUUUAGUGAAAAUAUUUUUCAAAUUCCUUUUUUCAUAAUUUUCCGGUGUUUGGUUUGUCAGUGAAAAUAUUUUUUGACUUCCUUUUUUAAUGUUUGUUGAUAUGUUGCAAAUGUUUUUCUAUUCUCAAAACAUUCAUCUUGUUUUUUAGCUUCUAUCCAUUAUAAUCAUAUUAUCAUUUUUAUAAAAUAUUUAUUCAAAUUAUACCAUGAAUUCUUAAAUGGAAUUAUUAAUGACACUAAUGAAUUGGUUUUUGAUCUUCCUUUAAAAAAAAAUCAUUAAGGGGGUGAAGUGGAUUCAAUACAAUUCAUUGUGUAAGAAAAUGGACGACUUUGAUUGGACAUGGGAAAAGGAUGCUUGCUUGUCCUAUUCAUACGGCUAGAAAGUAAUCAUCGAGACCCAGAUUGUAGCUGUCCCUUCCUUAUCUUUGACCUGCUAAUCUUUGCCAACAAAAAGGCCCAGCUUCAUAGCAGUAAAUAGACCCAAAGCAAUCAGAAGUGGCCGGACUGCCCAGUGAAAAUCCUCAGGGUGCUGAUACUUUUUCACCACUCCAGGAGAAGUGCUAAAAGAAACACACUGAACUUCAGAUGGAUCAGCUAAAAAGCUACUAUUUUCAUUACCAAAUGUCAACCUACCAGGAAACCUAACAACAAGGCACCCAUUUGGUAAGACUUGACAAAUUCUCCCAGUUGCCCACUCGCCACCUCUUUUUCGGGGCCAUUCAAAUCAAGGAUUAAAUGUAUCAGACUUCAGCCUAACAAAUUGCCCAACACAGUAAGUUUCUGCCAUCUGGAGCUCUGAAUAUCUUCCCUUCCAAAGUGUCUCCAUUCCUAUAAAUCCAGCAGCUACACUUCCAUCACGGUUGAUUAGAUGAAGGAUACAAGGAUACCUAUUGGUGAAUGUUUCUUUCCUUCAGCCUUCAAUCGCACCAAUCUCCAGCAGCAAAUCCAUAACUUACACGUUCCAGUGGGCAUCUGCCGACGAGUCUUCAAUCGAUGGUCUUCAAUCGUUGAGAAUGGGCGUCUGCCGUAGUGGAAGAAUGCCUUUAGGGCGUGCUUUCAAGGAAGGUUUCCUUCCCUCGGCGUAAGUUAUUUUCCAUCAGAAAUCAUUUUCCCAAAUUAAAUUGUAUCCAAACAGUGGAAAAUUAGGAAAACAUUUUCUGGAAAAUAUUUUCCGUCCAAACAAACAGAGCCUAAAUGAUUUUCACACUUUUAAUAUAGUAUUAGUAUAGAUGUACAUAUGAUUUAUUAACUUUUCUAAAGCAACAUUUGUAGAAUGCUCGUACUUCCUGUUGCAUUGUUUUGCUAGUGUAUUAGUGUAUUUUUUUAACUCCCAAGUUUAUAGCCAUAUUUUCCCAAAAAAAAAAAAAAAACAAUUUUUUUGACUCCCAAGUUUAUUCAGUUUAAAACAAUUUCUCUUUACGCAAGUCCAUAAUUGUUACAUUGUUAUAUUAAUAAAAUAUUUCAAUAUUGAUUUUCAGUUUGUGAUUGUGAAGCCUACCAUUUCAAUAUUUAUGCGCCAUUGUGGUUAGAUGGAAGUUUGUACUGUGUAAAUUCAAGAUACAGUCCAGCGCAUCUUUAGUUUUGCCAGCAUCCAUUGCAUUUUCUUUUCUCUAAGUUUUUUUUUAGUGAAUAUAUGUGUAUAUUUCAUCUGUCAGCGCCAUUAGAUUUGCUAUCCCUUCUCUUGGGAUAUUUUUAUAAGUUAUACUUUUUUUUUAAUAAAAAUGUCAAUUAUGUUUGGCGGGUGGACUUGUCUACCCAUUUUAUUAAUAUAAGCUUUAAAAAGUAUAGGGGUUGGAGUGGCAUAUAGACCAAGACUCCAAUAAACAAGAAGAAAAAUAACAGGAGUACUAUUUCCUUAUAAUUGUAACUUAGUACUAUGAGGAAUGUGCGGUUACUACUGUCUAUCUAUACACGAUACGCCCUUGACGCGUGCAGGCAGAGUAGAAGCUUCAUACGUCACUGAAUUUUGAGUUGUGCUCGCUCCUUUGGCUAAGGCAUCGACCGCAGAAUUAACUCUAAAAUUUUAUUAGGAUUGAGAUCAAAUUUAUAAAUUUGAAUCGUAGAAUUGUGGGGUUGUCAUUGGAUUGUAACAUGAGAAAGAAUGCGUGGGUGUGCAAUGUGUCCGUAAGUAUCAUGGAACCAAUAGCAAAAUAUCACAAUUUAAAUUAAGAAGGCUAAAGAAAAGUUGCUCUAACAAUUGUAAUAAUCCAAUCCAAAAGACCAUUAUUUGACAAAAAAAUAUCCAAAAGACCAUUAUGCUAAAAAAAGAAAUAUACAAAAGAAAAAGAGGGUCGCCUUCGAAGAAGUCAUAUGGAGCAUAAAAAACAUAACGAUGAUUGCGUCCAUUUAGCUCUGUCACACAUUUGACGGCCCGCAUCGAAUCUUUUAUCGGAGCUCCUAAUCUUUGACUGCAAAACUUAGCCCGAAUCCGACAUUGCAAAAGUCCACUACGCCUACACAUUGCAAAAUCAAUUCAAAUUAGUCAGGUUUUUUCCGAACAUAGAGAACCAAGAAAAAUGGACAUUCCUAAUACAACAUUACCCGGAAAAAAAAAUACAACAUUACCCGUAUAACAUAUUCGUAAAACUUAUGAACCCGGAAAAAGAGUUGCAUGUCUCUGUUUUGUUUCUUUCGGCAAACUUAUUUUCUGAACAUAGAUAGGAAAUUUUUUUUUGUUUGAAUUUCUGGAAUUAAACAUGGCGAGAAUAAGCAAUAUAACAUUGUGUUAAAUUUUGUCUUGUACUAGCUGCCCGUUGUAGUCGGAAUUUACAAUUUUGUAACACUAAAGUGAAUAGUAGCAAACAAUGAAAGGGGGGUAUUUUAAAAAAAAAAAAAAAAAAUUAGUAUCUACGUAGUGUAUAGCACAGUGGGUUUUGGGGCCCACUCCUGCCAAAAGCCAACAGAUCCUACCAAGCCUCAACCAUAGCUUGUCAAACAUUAGCGGAAGGAGCCCAAAAAAAAAAAAGGACACUUGUCAAUAAUGCAAAAUACUAUUUUGGCUAAUUUCAAGGCAAAAAAAUCCAGAGACUAGAAGCAAUUUCUGGCACACACUCUUGAUGAAAGUGACAAUUAAACAAACCACUCGCUCAUUUUGCCAGUUGCUCAAUUUCACUUGCACGACCGAUGGUAUACGAAACGUAGGAUAUUUGUGUUUAUCAUUGUAGUAUGAACAGGUGUGAUUUUACAUCAGGUAUAGACCAUGAAAGAAAAAAGAGCUCAUGGAAUUUUACCUCCUCAUACAACACCCAACCUGCACAUCCUUCUAUCAUUAUCUACAUUUGCAUCGCAGAAACGAGCAAAGAUUUGGCAACUAUAAAGACGGGGAAAUUGUAGAAACGAGUAUGAAUAACAGAUCAUUUGCAUGGUUUUUGCAUAUCGAACAUUUUGGUUUUGAAAGCCCAAAAGAACAAAAUUUCGAGGUUAAAUAAAUAAGCAUAGAUCAGAAAAGGAACAAAAAAGGGAUAAAUCUGAUUAGGAGGCUUAUCGUGCCAAACAGGUCAGAUGGAGCAAGGUUACGAGUAAAACUAGUCCUUGAGACUUUUCAGGAUUGAUCAAAGCGCAAAGAUUGGCCAACGCAAGUCAACUGUAAACCUAGCGAUUAGGUUGCAAAGGAGGUGAAUUACCAGAGAGUUAGCCACAACGUCGCUUGCUACAUCAUAUAAUGGGAGAAAUUCAUAGCCAAGGAAGUCUCUUGCUACAUUAGUACACACGCUGACGGACUAUGACAAGUAGUCAAUCCAGUACGUUACUUCCAAGUAGUGUAUAUCCUACACAACUAACGAAAGUACCUCAGAAAAGAAAACAGUGUAGUAGCACUUAAGGCAUAGACGAUUCAUGUUCAAUGCGCUUAGGGGUAAAAACUUCAAGGAACGACCACAAGGAAGUUUCUAGUAAUGGAGAUAUAUUUAAGAAACACCGAGCUUAACUUUACACAAAAUGUUACGCACAAUCACAUUUGUGAAAAGGCAUACAAACUCAACGCAUAGGCUUUGCUGUGUAUUCUAUUAGAACUAGUUUAACAAAACGGCUAUAAUGUGCCAAAGAAAUGCAGUUAAAACACUGCUGUUACAAGAGCUAAGAAAUGGAGUUAAAACACGAAUUGUUCCGAGUGUCGAAGAGAUGCAAUUAAUACACGAGCGUUCCACUUCAAAGAAGACUUCGCAAUGGAGGAUACAAUCAUAGACCAAAUGUUUUGGUUAAUAUUUCCCUUCAAACAAACCCCAUUGGACCGCUAAAGACUGCAUAGAUCUGGAGAUUCCCAAAUAGGGCACCCUGUUUUCGUUCAUCAGUUUUAUCCUAAGAUACCAUUUGCCUUCCACAACCCGUCUAGCUGCAUUAUUUAUUUCCUAUUUACUUUUGCCAUAUCGUAGAACUCCAACCAGUAUUUGGUCAUGAUUGACCCUUCUCUACAUUUUACAGUCGCUAUCACCUUCUAGCCGCGCCAUAUGCUUAUUAUCAACUCGCUAUAUAUUUGAGUGUCCAUUUAUCCGGGUCAGCACAAACCUAUGCAGUCAAUGAAUCAUCUAAAUUCGUUAGCAUCUAUCCCAAGUCAUACUUGACUGAACAAAUGUUCAAUCCUCAUUGUGUAGACUUGUUAGUAAUCUUCCCACGUAAUGUAGCGAAAAACAUGUAGUUAUGUGAAUACAGACAACGAUUUAAUUUAUAGAGAGUACCUAAGUUAGACAAAGAGUUGAAGAAUCCCAAUCUUUUUUCAAUUUUUUUAAAAACAUUAUCAUAUUCUUUUGUCUCGACAAAAGUUGGUUGGUCAGCUCUAAUUUGUCAAAUUGCUUUGGUCUAUCAAAAGUUUGUUGCUAAAACUAACAGCGCAAAUUUCAUCGGUUUGGGCAGCAGAAGCUAACACGCUUUAAAAGAGCUAGGUUAAUUCCUUUAGGUGCCACAUUUUUUCACGCAAUAUACUGUGAACUGACGGAUUCCUAUCAGAGUUUGUAAAUGGAGUAAUACUUUUCAGUCUCAAGUUUAGAUUUGAUUAGGAGAGAAAUUUUUGGAGUUGCAUUCAAUGUAUUAAGCACGUGAAAGUGUAAAAAACUUAAUUGGUAUGCUGGAUUGUAUACUCUGGUACUCGCAGCCUCACACCCAGCUUUAUGCUUUUGGGUUUGAAAUAUUAAGUACACGAAGGUGUAACAAACUUGUAUGGUUUGCUGGAUCUAUACUCUCGAAUGCACAGCCCCACUCCCAGGUUAACCUAGUAGUAAGUGCUCCCACUUUGACACCCAUCCCCAUGAAUAGAAAACCUCAGGAACCACUAAGACAGUUACAAGGUCAAAAGCGCAAGUCAGUCAUCAACAUUUUUAUCUGCUCAUUGCAUUUACAUCUUUCUCCAAGCCUUUUUCCCUUUUCCCGGUCUUAUUUGCUAUAGUUAACUUGAAUCAGUUAUGCUCAGGUAUAUGCUCCAUAUAAACACUUCUACUCUUUUCCGGCUUAUUAAUGGCAACUCUACAGACUCCAAUAUGCUUUAACAUCUGAUAUUAUCUCACUUAAAACUCUUCUAUCCUACCUACAGAAAGAACAUGCAUAAAGAAAUAGAGAGAACACCAUAGGAAUAUUUAGAAAAGUAAACAAAAGCUUCAUAAAUUAGGAUUACACUUGACAAGAUUCAUAGAUGCUCAGUGUUACAGAUGAAAAGUAUGACACCAACAGACUGAAAGAAUAUAGUUAACCAUAGUCAAGAAAAGACGCAAUCUACAGUGACACAUGAUGGACUUGAACAUGCAACAGAAAAAGGCAAAUGCUUAGACAAGCAGUCAAACAGCCCUAAAGCAUAGAUGUAAAUUUAUCUUAACUACCAACCAAUUGCUUGACGAGAGUCAGCACAGGCAUACAUGUAAUCAAAAUAAGUAUUAUAAAUCACCAAAAAAAAAAAACUGAAUAUCCAAGCAUGGCGCCAAGUUUACAACUUGCUACAGCAUUGACUCAUUAAAGACAACUAAAUUUAACAAUGAGACAUUCAGAAUAUACCACUGUAGAGAAAAGGUUACUACAAUUCAUCUUCACUAACAGCCAGAUCGGGAGGCGAAGUGAUGAAGAUUCUCUGUUCCUCCAUUUUUUCUUUGGUUUUCCUAUGUUUUAGACAGGAGAGGAGGGGUUUUUUUUUUUUCGGGAGGGGAGGGAGGGGGGGUGUGUUUUGUCACUACGGUACUAAGGGAGCAAUCUAAUCCCUAAUACUUUAGCUUAACUUCAUGAAUAAGUAUGACAUAAAAGAUGCAUCGAACAUUGAAUCCAGCUAAAACAACUUCAGUAACAUCUGCUAAACACACCCAACUUUUUUCCUAGUUGUAAGUAUUCAACCAUGCCAUAAAGACAGCACAAGGGCAAACUUCUAGAACAUACUGAUUUAAUCAUGAUGGAGUUCAUGGAACUUAAAACACUAAGUUUUGCCCCAAAAAAAAAUGACACAGGAAAUGCAUUAUUAAAACACGGGAACAAAGGCCCAAAACCUGUAGGAAUAAACAAAUUAUACAGUUUACACUUGGCCAAGUCAAAAAUACAAUAGACAUGUCUUUAUAUGGCAUAUUCAACAACCUAACAUAUAUUAGUGCACUUCAGCAACACACAACAAAAAUAAAUUUGAAUGUAGUUAACUUUAUCUGCAUCAAACUAAUCCUAAAGAGAUUCCUCUCACCCCUUUCAGUGGCAAACUUCCUGUUUUUGUCCCACUGAAUUCCGCUACAAAAAUAACUUAGAAUGUACAACUGAACUCCAGUAAAAGAAAAAGACAAAAAUACAUUUGAAUGUAGUUCAAUUUAGCUAAAGCACCCCAACCAUAAAGAGAUAUCCAUGACAAGUGUAAGUGACAGAUACUUCCUAAAGUAGAUGACUAAAACAAGAAUACUGUCUGGUUUGUUCUAAUUCCCUCCAUUUCAGCAACAAACUUCCUGUUUCUUUCUCCCGGUCAACAACUUCCGUUUUUGCUUAAUGAUCAUCCUUAAAGACCAGAAUUCACACCACCUCCUAUCAAUUACCUAAUUUAACUUCUACAUUCCACAAGCCUAACUAAUAUGCACUGCAAUUAGCUAAACAAUUUCACCUGAAGACUUCAAAUUUAAAUAAACUCCUAAAGCAGGCAACUAUCGACCAAGUAACUUUCUAUCUGCAGGUAACUUCUGAGAAACUCCCAGCGCAUCUCCUUGACACCAAAUUCCCCCCAAAAAAAUUUUCAAUGAAUGUUUCAAAACAGCAUUGCAGGGAACCACCUACUCAAUUCCAGCCCAUUCAUUAGCUUACCUCAAUUUCUUUUUAAGCCUCAGGCAUAGAAAACUAUAGCCAACUAAUUUAGGAACGUACUCUUCAAAGAGAUUAAAACCAAAACAGCACAUGUUCACCAAUCACAUAAUAGCAACACAGCAGAUCAUGAAAACUGCAAAAAUUUAACUCUGCCCUCCCAUAAUCAAACCAAAAUGCCUCAUUAUAGUAGAAGAGCAGCUAUCAUAAAACUACUCCAACUGAUGACAAACAAAGGAAUUGAUAUAUUACCUGGUGGGGCAAUUCUGUCAGCUGCCAGAACCUUGCCCAGUCUGAGUUCCAGGUGGUUGCUGCACCCUGUUAAGGAGAUUGACAGCAAAUAGUAAAGUUGAUUGAUAGCGUCUAUUCUUUUCUUCCUCAGUCUCAGAUGUAUCCUGGCCUGCUCCUUGCAAAGCUGAAUGAUGCUCCUGCACCUGAUUCCUAACAUCAGCUUCAGUAGUUUGUGGCAUAGAAGCAUGCUGUAGGACAUUGGGACCAUUAAUCUCACUGCCCAAUGUUACAAGAUUUGUAGGCUGGUGAAGGACCGACGAACCAUACAACCUCAAUGCAUCAGUUCCCUGUGCCAUCCCAUGCCCCUUCAGAGGAUCAUGGGGCAUUCCAAGUUGAUGCUGCUGGUCAACAUUAGACAAGGCUGAAACCUGUCCUUGAGAUGGGGUUGCAGAGGCAAUUGGUCUAGAUGACACAGCACCUUGAGGUUGCAUGUUGAAACCACGAUCUUGGAUUUGGCUAUAGCCAAGGGCACCUUGAGCAGGAAGAUUGAGGGUGUUUGACACCGCAGGAUAAGCAUGAACUUGUGGAAUAAAUUGUGCUUGGCUAUGAAACUGGCUGUUGAAUUGUUGUGUAACAUAACCUGCUUGCUCAGGAACUUGACGUUCAUGCUGCCACCCUUGUGGAAGUCCUUUAUCAGGUGCAGGGGUAAUAUUUAAUGCAGGGCCCAAUGUUGUUGAAGCGGACUGUACUGAUGAACUUUCUGAACCAGAUGACUUACUGUUUCCCUGAUAUAUAGAAGCUAGAGUGGCAAUAAGAUCAGGUGUUAAUUUAAGUCCAGCUUGAGAAACUGCAGCAUUAUUGAUUGGCGGAGUAGAAUUCAAAGAGGAGCCCAACAUUUUCAGAGGUGGUUUCAUAUCUUCCGGUACCACCUUGUUAUAACCCAUUUGCAUACCAAUUUCCUCCUGCGCUAUCUCAUUAUAUCCAGUUAGAGAACUAGCUUGCUGCUGUGCAUCCACAUACUGCGGCUGAACCAAUGACGGCGGAAUAUUUGAGCUAGCAGGAGCUGCUUGGGGAAACUCUAAAACAACUCCAUAAAGCCUUUCAGGUCCCGUAACCUUAAGAACAUUGGUCAGAAAAUCAGAUGGAGGCACCAAGAACAAGGUGGUGCCAUCGUCAAACUUGGCAACACCAGCCCGAUUUCUAGCUCCCAAGUAUCUCAAAAACUCUGUAUAUGAAGCAAAAUCAGCUUCACUGUCGGGCAAGAAGAAUGCGAUGCUAAAACCAACAGCAUCAGCAUAAUGCUUGGUUAACAAGUCCAACCCAGUCCGAGCUGUGCAAUUAACAACCUCUGGACUGCAAAAUGAACACACAUUAUACGUCAAGCCAAUAGUGGAAUUAAAUCAAAUAAAUGUUGGCAAUAAGCUAAAUAAACAAAAACUCAUGGAAAGAAGAAAACUCAAAGGCAGAAAAAUUCGAAAAUCAGCAAGAACUAAAAUGGACUCAACCGCCUGGAUCCCAUACAAACACUUCAUGGAACAAUCAGACUUCUGAAAUAGGGAAACUACAGGUGAACAAUUCACAGCUUUUCUUUGUUAGCUAUGUCCCAUGCGUGAAGCAUAUGCCACACUCAGAAUAAAUACUGUUGAUGAACACUCAGCACUAAACCCAUCCAACAAUUUUAAGAUACUCAAAUAGAUGGCUGAUACUCGGGGAAAAAAAAUGAUAUGCAACUAGAAAUACUCCAUGCACAACCUACUUAACAGAGAAAAAUAGAAAAAGAACACCAGUGAAAACCACCCCACAACAAAAUUACAAAAACUUAGCACACUUACAGUAGAACUUUGACGAGAUCAUGAAAAGCCCAAAAGACCACCCAAAUAAACUAAACAUCAGAUUCUAAAUAAAGUAAACAUUCUAUUAUAUGGGAAGAAAUUAAGUUAUCAAGAAUGCUUCAUGCAAUAAAAUAAAGGAAAGAGCGGUCCAAUUCAAACUAAGGACAUACUGCACAAAGUUUGCAAGAAGCAUCAAAAAGACCAAUGAAGUUGUUUGAAAAUAAUAUACUUACAUCUCAGAACUGAUACCUUCCCCUAUAGGAACACAACGGGCAUGGCAAAUAAGUGAGCCACCUUUUGCAAUAAUCCCUCGCCACACAUAAUCAGGCUCAGGAAUGCGCUUUCCUAGUCCACCAACUGAAAUUUGCAUGCCAACUGGGCUAAGAUGACUUCUUCCUUCAAAAUUAGAAAGAGGAUCUGUAGAACCUGCGUAUGUACGAAGCCCAUAUGGUUCAUCCAAACCCAACCCUUGGUCAUCAGUUCUUCUGGCAGGAAAUGAUGAAUUGUGAGCUUGCAAAGUUCCCUCAACCCUUGAUCUUUUGGACUCCCUCUGAAGUUGGCUGGCAUCAAAGACAUCCCAAGCACUUGAUGCAGAUCUAUUUGGCAGAUUGAGACUGGCAGAAGGUGAAGACAGCAGGCCAGGUGCAGGAGAAGAUCUUCUCCAAUUUGGACCCCCCAAAUGGGCGUGAUGACCACCUUGAAGAUCAAAAUUUCCUUGAGGACCUAAUGGCCUCAUAAUGCCAUCAGGUCCAGGGGCUCCACGAGGUGGCAAAACUCCAGAAUCAUGACUAAUUAUGUCCAUUUGUCCAUGCCUAAAUGGAACAUCAUUCAGGUACGUAUCUGGCCUUGUCCCUUUGGUUCCAGGAUAAUUCCCCAAGUAAUCUUUGUUUGGUGCAAGUUCACUGUUUGAAUACUCAAUUGAGAUUCGUGGAUCACUAAAAAGCUUGCCUUGCAAACCUUCUUUUGCAAGUCGUGCUUCAUCUACACUUCUAAAUUGUACAAACGCAUAGUUCCUGUCUUCAAAAGUUUUAAUCCUUUCUAUCUCACCAAACAGAAUCAUUGCAUUAUGCAACAUGUCUUCAUCAAUCUGAACUGAAGGAGGAUAACUUAUCCACAAGACCUUGCUUGGUUGACCAUCUCCCCUCCGCCCUCCUGGAGACUGGAAUUGCUGCAAAAGGGAGAAAAGGAAGUACAGGAGAGCAUUAGUUCUUAGAUAGCUCAUGGAUCCCAAAAGAAACAAGAAAUGGUUUCAAUAAGAUUUGCAUCCAAGACAGUUAUGGCAGAAAAAAAAACCAAUCUGAAGACCUUUCAAGCAUAAAGAUCUACAAAAAUCACUGAUGACAGCAGACAAAAACUAAAUCAUUUUUAAGGAUUGAAUAGUACAUGUCGUUUUGACCCAACUUGGAUAGACUCUUGUGCCAUCCACCGUGUAUCUGGAGGGCCAAUGCUCCUGUUGGGGAAAUGUCCUUCCCUUGCAUCACGAAAAUCAGGUAACUGCUCCUGCAUUAUAUGUGAACACAAUAUAACCUCUCUAUGCAAGUUACAAGGAUGAGCAAUAUGGAACAAGUACAAGCCAUGACUUUCAUGACCAAUGUAUGAUAUUUUCUAAGUCCCCAACAAGAAGCUAUAACCAAACUUCUAAGGUAAUUUAGCAGUUGGAUGCUUACUCUUCUAGAAGGUUGUGAUCGAAGAAAAUCCACACGUAUCUGAUCCCCACCAAUUCUCCUCCCAUUCAUAUUCUUCAACGCUUGAGAAGCAUCCUCUAAUCUAGAAAAGUCGACAUAUGCAGUAUUACGGUCUCUAAGAAAUUUAAAUUCCUGGAUUUUACCAAAUCUCGUAAAUUCUUCUUCCAGUUCUUCUUUUGAGACAGAUUGGCUUAUUCCAGCCACCCAUAAGCUCUUACAUGGUUUAGCCUGCAAGGAAACUACAUAAGAACAACAAAAUACCAAAACAAACUGAAUCUUACAGGCCUAUUUUGAUGAUCUAUCAUGUAUAUUGACACAAAUUAACAACUAAAAAAUAUACUCAUGUUUACACUUUUACAAUAACUGACUACCAGUACGGUGCCUCAGAAAUACAAUUGGGGAAUAAGUGGCAGAAUAGUCAUAGAACUCAAAAAACAAAUGAAACCAUAGUAGUGAGAAAAGAAAAGACAUUUCAAAAACAAGGAAAGAGAAAAGAAAAGAAUAGAAUAUGAUGCAUCACAUAGAGUAACUAUCAUAGACCCAAGUCUGAACAAGGCAGAGAACACCAUCAGCUCCACAAAGCAUAAUUAAUUUUUUGUUCUAAUUCUAUAUUUCUCUGAAGUCCACUAUACAUGCAAGACAUGCUAAAGAAAAGAACAACUACCAUCAAUACAACAAUUACGCUGAUUAGUAACUUGAGAAAAAUCAUGAAAAAGACAGAAGAAAAAGGCAAAAGAGACAACGUAGGAUAUGAAGGGACUUAAAGUUCAAAUGGUCUCAAUCAGGGUAUCUAAUGAUAAUUAUGACCAAUGAACGCCCAUUGUUUACACCAAAUGUAAUAUUUGCACUAGACAAACAAGCAAAAAAUAACUGCAAGCACAGCACCUUAUAACAAGUAAUAACACAACCGCCCCACAAAUUUGUUAGGCAAUUAAAUAAACUCCACUUCAAAAAUAGUUUUAAAAAGCAGAAGUUGACCAGUAUUCCUAUGCAUGCAUGUAAAGAGGAUUCAUCAUGUAUCAAAUUACUGCAAUGUCAGGCCUUAAUGGAGCAAUCUCGUUUUUGCACAAUCUACUAAAGAAGUGUCCAAAGAUUUGCAACCACACUGUUCUUUUUUUUUCAUAUAGUAUUUUAUACGACAAUUUGUUCAUUAGAGAUUUUGGUAUGAUGAUUUAUUUUCUUAACACAACUUCUGUUCAACCAGAAAUGGACGCAAAGUGAUAACAUUUUUCCUUGCAUCUUAAACAUUGAAUGCAAGAAAACGUUGGUACUAAGUGCAAUAAAAGAAUAAGUUGACCAUUUGCCAGACAAGUCGGACCUCCAGUUGAUCAGAUCCUAUGAUGUCUCCAGCUCAUAAACCUCAAGAAGCAAAUUACAUGAAGGAAAAACCAUGGUUGACCUUAUCUAUUAAUGCGCCAUCCAUCAUCAUAUCUAAACGGGCACACUCCUGAAGAUCUAAAUAUCCAUGCAAAACAUAUCGUCGCACAGUUAACUGUCAAUAUUUUGUACUUUUAUCUAAUAUAUAGAUGCUGAAAGGCUUGGAAUUUGUUGUUCAAGUGAAAUUUUAAUGGGUAGACGUGUUUCUCGAUAAGUUGGACGCACGAUUACUUAGAUUACAUUGCAAGUCAUCGUGCGAAAAGGUAUGUCUUCCAAUGGGAAAGUACCCCAGAAACUGGUAGUGUAAUAAACGCAAAAAUUUCGGGAACAUGUCCAGUAGCUUUGAUCAUACAAUACAAUGAAUUUCUACAAGAUUGAGCUUUGAUGCGUAAAAGCCCAACGCAUCUUUUACCCUGAAUUGUGACAUGUUCAUAUUCUCUACAAGAUCUGAAGAAGCAUAAAUUGUAAGAAAUUAGUAUUCACGUACGUUGAAUUGUGGCAUGUUCAUAUUCUCUACACAGCCCAGACUUUCACGCUGCUCUCAACAGCCCAGAUUUUCAUAGCAGCGCCGGCUAUUCCGCCGUCCUAGUCAUUGGGUUGGUGCGCAGGGAAAAUUUAUCGAAAAUCUUGAGCAAAACUCAAUUCUUUGUCGAUUAGUCCUUUUUAAUUUCACAAUUGUUAACUUUACUCCUUUUUUUUUAAUCUCUGACUUUGAUUUGUAGAGAAAAAUAAAUCUAUUACCCAAAGAAAAAGAAAUGGAACCACAAUCUUUUUCUCGCGCUUUUCUAUUACCAUGAAUUCGUAUAAAAAGUUGGAAUCAUCAAUUCGACUUCAAGCCCCCCCUCCCCCCAAACCCAAAAAAAAACUGAAGCCCCUCAAAAAAAAAUCAAAAAUAAAAAACGCAAAAGCAAAAUUUGCAUCGAAGGAGGAAAAUUCGAGAAAUCCAUUAGUGCUAUUAAUCAAACGCCACAUCAAAACUGAAACAAAAAAUUUCGAACAACAAUUAUAAUAAUUAUUACUGUUGGGAUUUUUAUGACUACGAAUCAAAAGAGUUUGACGAACCGGUUUAGCGAACUCGAUCUUAAUCGGGUUCCCAUGGAGAAUUGUGCCCUGAAGCUUUUCUUUGGCGGAUUUGGCGUCCUCAAUUUUCUUAUAAU
rnacentral:lncRNA from 1 species